rnacentral:tRNA from 1 species
GCCGAAAAAGCUCAGUUGGUAGAGCGCUAGGCUAUAGAUCGAAAGGUCCUUGGUUCAAUCCUGGGUUUUUUCU